rnacentral:lncRNA from 1 species
CGACAAAAACUACUAUUCCCUGGAAGUCUGUGGAAAAUAUUUAUAUUACGCCACAGAACGGGUUUCCAUGACAGUGACGACUGUAACACUGUUGCCUUAGCAACCACUUGAGUCCAUCUUGAAUGAUCUGAAUCCCCUUCACAGACAAAUAAGGAAAAUCUGUCAAAAGUGCCAUUCCGCUGGUGGGAAGUCCUGGAAGACGGUUUUCUCGCGCCCUCGUUCUCCCUCCAGUCAUCAGAUUUCUUGUAGCAUGCCUACAGAGAACUCAGAUAGGACAUCAGGACAAGUGACAUCCUGGAGUGACAUGGAGCACGCCAGCAUUCACAGGGAGGUGCAUCUUCCCCCAUCACACGUGUGGGCACAGGUGAAAAGCACCGUCGGCAUCAGCGGCAGUGGUGCUAUCAGCACCGUAAGCACACACUGCAGACCAGGCCACUCCAACUCAACAUCUUUUACUGGAGAAGGUGCUCCUGCAGGCUGAUUAAAUCAAUAAAUGAGCCCUCUCAGGGAAGCAGCGACUUUUCUCCUGGAGGAAAUGUUUUCAAUGCAAUUCAUAUCCAUCUCUGGAGUUUUCUUUGCCUCUUUCCUUAUUGAAAAACAGCUUGAAAAGCUAGAAAUGCUGACCUGUUUUCUUUCAUUCAUCUUCCUGCUUCUUACUGACAGGGAGAAAGCUGUUUUAAGAGAGAAAAAGAGCAGUUUAAAUCGUUUUUAUAAUUUUACUAGCCGGCAAGAAAAUCACUUUGCUGGAUUUGUAUGGAGACUAGGAGAAAUGGAACAAAACAUGGGUGGAGGGCCGGGGAGAAAAGAAAAAGAAGAAGCUGGUGCCACUUUAGGAGGAAGCUGAAAUACCUCUUCACCAAAGCCCUUCUUGGAAAGUGUAAUAUCUACAAAAGUCACUUCAGACCUUUUCAGACUUCUGACCUAACUGAGAGGCAGGAUGGAGUGCAGGAGUUUAGAGUGGGCUUUGGAGUCAUACGAAAGUGGGAAUGCACUUUGCUCCCACAUCCCGUCUUGCCUGCUGGCCACAGCUGAUUAGAGUAGGCAGGAGUAGAUCCCUGACCUUAAGACAAACUAAACACGGCCUGACCUGAUCUGACCCAAAAGGAUUGGCUGGGUCAGCUGGUUUUCUUUCCUUAGGAGCCUGAAUAGGAAGUAAAGAAAGAAUUCAGCCUGGCGCGGUGGCUCAUGCCUGUAAUCCCAGCACUUUGGGAGGCUGAGUUGGG